GACAGAGGGGGCAAGCGUUGCUCGGAAUUACUGGGCGUAAAGGGAGCGUAGGCGGAUAGUUUAGUCAGAGGUGAAAGCCCAGGGCUCAACCUUGGAAUUGCCUUUGAUACUGGCUAUCUUGAGUACGGAAGAGGUAUGUGGAACUCCGAGUGUAGAGGUGAAAUUCGUAGAUAUUCGGAAGAACACCAGUGGCGAAGGCGACAUACUGGUCCGUUACUGACGCUGAGGCUCGAAAGCGUGGGGAGCAAACAGG
rnacentral:rRNA from 1 species